rnacentral:rRNA from 1 species
AGUGAACGCUGGCGGUAGGCCUAACACAUGCAAGUCGAACGGCAGCACAGUAAGAGCUUGCUCUUACGGGUGGCGAGUGGCGGACGGGUGAGGAAUACAUCGGAAUCUACUUUUUCGUGGGGGAUAACGUAGGGAAACUUACGCUAAUACCGCAUACGACCUACGGGUGAAAGCAGGGGAUCUUCGGACCUUGCGCGAUUGAAUGAGCCGAUGUCGGAUUAGCUAGUUUGCGGGGUAAAGGCCCACCAAGGCGACGAUCCGUAGCUGGUCUGAGAGGAUGAUCAGCCACACUGGAACUGAGACACGGUCCAGACUCCUACGGGAGGCAGCAGUGGGGAAUAUUGGACAAUGGGCGAAAGCCUGAUCCAGCCAUACCGCGUGGGUGAAGAAGGCCUUCGGGUUGUAAAGCCCUUUUGUUGGGAAAGAAAAGCAGCAGGUUAAUACCCCGCUGUUCUGACGGUACCCAAAGAAUAAGCACCGGCUAACUUCGUG